rnacentral:rRNA from 1 species
GUUGAACGCUAGCUACAGGCUUAACACAUGCAAGUCGAGGGACCGUCGCACGGGCGAAUAACACGUAUCCAACCUGCCCUUUACUCGGGGAUAGCCUUUCGAAAGAAAGAUUAAUACCCGAUCUAAUGGACGGGGAUGCGUUCCAUUAGGUUGUUGGUGAGGUAACGGCUCACCAAGCCAUCGAUGGAUAGGGGUUCUGAGAGGAAGGUCCCCCACAUUGGAAAUGAGACACGGGCCAAACUCCUACGGGAGGCAGCAGUGAGUAAUAUUGGUCACUGGGCGCUAGCCUGAACCAGCCAAGUAGUGUGAAGGAGUAAGGCUUAUGAGUCGUAAACGUCUUAUAUGUAAGAAAAUGUAAUAUAUGAGUAAGGAUCGGCUAACCCCGUGCCAGCAGCCGCGGUAAUAC